rnacentral:tRNA from 1 species
GCACUGGUGGUUCAGUGAUAGGAUUCUUGUCUUCCAUGCAGGAUAUUCGGGUUUGAUUCCCAGCCAAUGCA